CCUGUAACUUAAUGGUAGAGUAUUUCUCUUACAAAGAAAGAAUAGUAGUUCGAUUCUACUCAGGCCCA
rnacentral:tRNA from 1 species